CUAUUGCAAAGCUCUGGAAUGAGGAAGGGCGAGGUGCUUCUCACAAGUCAAGGGAGCCAACUCAUCAGUUCCCCAGAGACUCAUUCAGUACAAAGCAGCAGCCCUCAACACCUUCAGCAGCCAAUCUUGGUCCAGUCCAUGUGCACAAUCCAGGCACAGUCAUCUUUAGCUUGCUCAGUCAAUUUACGGGUCAAGUCGGGCCAACGACCGAAUGUGGGAAGACGGCUGAGAGAGCGAGGAGAGAGGAAGAGGAUGAGAGAAACUGUCCAGUGUUUCAUCCUGCAUCUUCUCCCAGCAUUCAUCUCUCUGAGGAGGAGAGGAGUGGAGAGAAUGACACCAUUUUCUUCCCUUCCCAGGAGCAGGGGAAAGACUCCCACAUGUCGAAAGAGGAGAUCCUAUGAUGCAUCUCAAAAAAUUCAGAAGACUUGGAUACAACAAACUUUGAAACCACAGAUGAGUAUGGAUCAUAUUCGUCUUUCCUCAGCAAGCUGCGGAUGCACUGACUUUGUUUCUGCAGCUUCUGGAAAACACUCACCUCAGAAAUGUAUUAAAUCUCGGAAGAACAGCUGCAAAGUGGUCUUCUUUGUAAGUUAUGAUUUACGAACUCUUGUAUAUACUUUUAAUAAGCUUCUUUGGCUCAGUGCAAAGAAUGCCAUCCAAGGUGUAGAAAGCUUUGUUAGGUAGUUAUUAGGUAGUUUUAGUCAAAUUUAUUAAGUUUAUUUUAAAUGAAAAAGAAAUAGAAGAAAAAAUGUACACAGAACAUCCACAUGUGAUAUUGAAAAGCUGGCUACAAAAGCAGCUAAUUAUGUCUGCACAUAUAUGUAGAUAUACAUGAAAUAUGUUUAACUUUAUGUACUAUAGUACAUACUUUCCUUUCACUGCCACAAUGUCCCCUCUGUCUUAUCAGUUCCAAGAUUUUUACCCACCACAAUUUUAUACACUUCAAAGUCACAGAUGCCAAAAUGAUCAUCUGUCCUCUCAGGAAACAGCAACAGUUUCAAACUUUCCACCUUCUGGCAUUUCACUGAUCAGCACGGCGCGGAGUGCCUUUUAGCUCCAUUUAAAUGUCCAAAAGCAGUGACGAAUGUUUUCCAUCUGGGAUGUGCCACCGAGUGUCUUGUUAGGUUCUCGCUCCUCCAAAUUCCAGAUCUGGUCUUUAACACAUAGGUUGGUCACAUUUCCCGCACACUUCCUGGACGGGCUUGGACACUUCUUCAUCACAUGCAGGUUGUGUGGCAGGUUUUUCAGCCAAGAAGUACCCUAAGCAGCAAGAAAUGACGGGAUGGUUUUAAUAAGAAUUUAAACAUUUGGGGGUAUUUAUAACACAAAAGUUCUAAGAAAAAUAUUAAGUGAUUUAAAAGAAAUCUACUAACCGUGAGUGAACCUAAUCCAGACUAAAAAUGGCUUGAUUUUUGUCACAACAACCAGUGCAAUUCCUGUACACAGGAGGGCAAUUAUCACCAGGAACCACACCGUAUCUAUAAUAACACAUGAGAGAGUUAGUUUCCAUAAUUUACAUCAGUUCAAUAAUUUCACAGGCAACACAAUUUGGCUACUUUACCUGCAAUCGGUUUAGUGGCGAGCCUGGUGGUGGUAACAUCAGGUGUCGCCACUAGAGGGAAACAUAAAAAAAAGAGAACCUUAUAAGUUCACUGCAGGCAUUAUUAGUUCGAUGACAAGAUGACACUAUUGUGGCUUGGAUUUGUCAGUGAGCUCACUCUUUUGUCCCUAAUGUUUAACUUAUUUCAUCAUGUGUUUGUGUGUGUGUGUGUGUGUUUGAAUGUGUGUGUCCUUUCUCCACGGUUACUACAGAAGAGGCAAACAGUUACAAGAACAUGCAAAUAGCUUCCAAGCAUUAUUAACAGCUCAUUUGUUUGGAUUAUUUUUAGUCAUGUAACAGUUUCAGCUGAAUCAGAAACAUUUUAGGGAUUCUGACUAUGACCUGUCCACAUUACUGUAUGUAGGCAGGAUUACAGUACAGGAAAACACAUGCUACAACUAGGGCCUCUACAGUGACAUUUAAAAAAAGAGACACAACAGACUGUUUUGCUCACCUGCCCUCGUACAGAGCCCAGAGUGAUAAUAACACAGGACACGACAUUAAGACUUUGAAUCAGUUAACAGAUUCAUGUACUACACCCCUAAAUCUGCCUGUCUUCUAGAACUUGUUAUCAUGGAUUGCUACACUGUUACUGAGUUAUGUUGUAGGGGGGAUGGAGGCAUGAAAGGAAAUUUCCUUUAAGCACUGCGCAGAGCUUUGCCAGGAGGCUGUUGAGGUAGACAAGAGAAGUGCACAAUUCUCACAUUCUCACCUGUGUCUGUGCUCUCCUCUGUGGUUAGGUUUAGGCAACUCAAGCACUUCACAUGAAGUUAGUAAAUUCCCUAACCUUUGUGAAGUGCUGAUGGUGCCAAAACGUAACCAUAAUUAAAAAAAAUCUGUUUAAGCUGUAAGUUGUAAACAACAUUUCUUCAUUGUGUUUCAUGAAAAAUGCGAUCCGAUAACAAAUAUUUUAUUUUUUAAUUUGUUGUUGUUUUAAACACUUUUAAACACUGAUGUUAUCACCUCAGAGUGCAUACUUGUCCCUCGCAGACACAGUGGGUUUAAGGUGGAUGACAUCAGCGUUAAAGGCAUCUAAACUCAUUACUGGCAGACUGAAAGAUGCUAAAAGGCCACAUAGAGCUGACUGACCUCUGUAGGGUUGUGGGUGAUGACUAUCUAUGAUUGGGUUUCUCUAAGCAAGUCUUGACGUUAGUGCUGCUUUACAAUAUCCUGAUGGUACUUUUGUGUUGAUAUCUUCUUUUCUUUGGGUUAAAAUAUGCACUCAAAAAAUUAGUCUUUGCCCUCAUAAACACAAAAUGAAACUGAAGUAUAUCAAAUCAAAGGUUUAUUCAUUUAAUUCAUUAAUCGUGAUUUUUUUUUAGGGAGCUCAAUGUAAGUUUCAUUUGGCCAGAUUCCAUUAAUUUGAACAUUUUACGUUGUACUUACGUAACUGAAUUUUUUCAUGUAAUCAGAUUACUUAAAUGCCACCACUUUGGGCAUGAAUAUUUUUUGAGUGUGAAUGUUUCCUUGUUUGUAGGUACCCCACUGGAUCCAGACAAACACGCUAGUAAAUGCUCUUGUGCAUACAUGUACCCCACUGGAUCCAGACAAACACGCUAGUAAAUGCUCUUGUGCAUACAUGUAAAUAAACAGUUUCUUUUAACAAACUUAUUACUCUGAGCUACUUUCAGUCUUGUUUUCAUAAAAUAAGGCAUUUGAACUCAUGGGUUCUCAGGAGUAUUUUUAAAUAAAAAGAAGUUAUAUUCCCAGAUGUAGUUAAAUGAGUAACUUCUCAUGAAAAAUGAGCAUUUGCUGCCCUUUUGUGGUUCAGCCUGUACACUCAGACAAGUUUGACGCCUAAAUCAUUUUGGUGUAAAAGAUGAGUAUAUCUGUUAUGUUAUUGCUUUUCAUGGUAGUGUUAAAUUAGUCUCUGAUCUUAUGUCUUUGGGCAACGCAUCUACAAUGUUAUUUUUUGUGCUUUUACACUGAUAAUCUGUAGCAAAUUGUUAAUGAAAGAAUGCAAAACGACAAAGCUCCUUAAUGAGAAUGUGAUGCUGCACGUGGCCCUCAAGUGUGUUAUGGUUGAAACUAUUCAAAACAAAACACUGCAAUGAAUAAAUGAUAACCACUGUGUCAACAAUUGUUUCACAUUUAGUUGACUGUGCCGAGAAGGGCUCACUUACCAGUAGUAGAUGGAGGGACGGUGGGUUUGAUUGUGGAUACACACUCUUUACAGUCUUGGUCUUUGCACUUGUAGCCAGCCUUACAUGUGCACACAGUGUUAUGAGUCGCGCUGCAUUCUGUCUUGACCUCCAUGUUUGCUGUGGAAAAACACGGUCAUUGUUAAAAGUGAUUUAAAGACGGAUAAAGUUGAAAGUGUGUGCAAAGGAUG
ensembl:lncRNA